GAUGAAAGAAGAAAAAAAUGAAGACUGAAAGACAUUCAGGAAAGAGUGCAGACAAAAGAGAAGUGAUAGUGAACAAAUGCUAGAAGUACAAGACAGAAACAAGAUUUGGGGAAAAUUUGGGAUAAAUGGAAUCUAUCAUUUGAUAAAUAUCAAGGUCAGGGGCGGUGGCUGAGAGGAGCUUCCCCACCUCCGAGGUCAGGGUCGGCGGCCGAGAAGAGCUACCACACACCCGAGGUCAGGGACAGCGGCCAAGAGGAGCAACCCCACCUCCAAGGAGCGGCUGCUGCGGGGUGCAGGAGGGCUGAGAGGAGCUACUCCACAUUCAAGGUCAGAAGGGGCGGCCAUGAGAAGAUACCCUUCGUCCAAGGCCUUUGCUGCUCCAUGUAGCCAUUCAGUGACCCUCACUUCUUCCAUCUAGUUUUCUACACUGAUUCUGUUGCAUCUGGGCAACCAAUGGGAUGUCAGAUGACCGAAAAGUCUCUCUAGUCCUCUGUGUGACCUUUGAGGACUCAUCAACCUGGAAACAGAGCAGGAUGCUAGUGUUUCAACCAUGGAUGCCAUAGUAGUAGGUCCCCAGGGUCAUAAAACAAGCUCCCUAGAAGUCACUGUGGAUGGAUGCUCGUGAGCAGGGUUGACAUCACCUGGUACACACUAGCAAGGCCCUAUCAGUUGUGACAUUUGGUGUCUGUUCUGAUUGGUUGAUGCUUGUACCCUAUUGCUUUUUAAACAUUUUACAUGUCACAUCUACUAAUAACCUUGGCCAUGUGGUGGGAAGUUUCAACAAUCCUCUCUCCCAGCUUGGAUCACCCCAUUGUUGUUGUUGUUCAGUCGCUAAGUAGUAUCUUAUUCUGUGACCGUAUGCAUGCCAGACUUCCCUGUCCUUCACUGUCUUUAGGAGUUUGGAUCAGCCCAUAGGGAUAAGGAAAAAAGAAACGGAAGGGAGCAUCCUGGAAUGACUGAUGAUCCGCUUUCAAGAACUCUGGAAUAAACCAGUGACUAAAUAUACCUUGAUUGUUAGGCUUAAGUUUUCCUUUGUCAGUGAACUGAUUUAAGUACAUUUACAGUGAAUAAAGGGAACUUGACUUUUUUUACCAUGUGAAAUUCAUAACUGCUGCAAAUGUGAAUCACUGUGUUCUGGCUUUCACUUCUCAUAUCUAGAUGUUGAAUGUGCCCCAGAGCCUCUAAAGCCAUCAGACAUUAGGU